rnacentral:rRNA from 1 species
AGAGUUUGAUCCUGGCUCAGGACGAACGCUGGCGGCAUGCCUAACACAUGCAAGUCGAACGGAGUUGUUAUUCAGAAGUUCUUCGGGAUGGAAGGAUAAGAACUUAGUGGCGGACGGGUGAGUAACGCGUGGGUAACCUGCCCUUUUGUGGGGAACAACUUCGAGAAAUCGGAGCUAAUACCGCAUAAUAAUAGAGGAUCGCAUGAUUCUUUAAGGAAAGAUGGCCUCUGAAGAUGCUAUCGCAAAAGGAUGGACCCGCGUCUGAUUAGCUAGUUGGAAGGGUAACGGCCUACCAAGGCAACGAUCAGUAGCCGGCCUGAGAGGGUGAACGGCCACAUUGGGACUGAGACACGGCCCAAACUCCUACGGGAGGCAGCAGUGGGGAAUCUUCCGCAAUGGGCGAAAGCCUAACGGAGCAAUGCCGCGUGAGUGAAGAAGGCCUUCGGGUUGUAAAACUCUGUCCUUAUCGAAGAGAGGUAGGUAUGUGAAUAAUGUACCUAUAGAACGGUAGAUAAGGAGGAAGCCCCGGCUAACUACGUGCCAGCAGCCGCGGUAAUACGUAGGGGGCGAGCGUUGUCCGGAAUCACUGGGCGUAAAGGGCGCGUAGGCGGUUUAAUAAGUCAGUGGUGAAAACUGAGGGCUCAACCCUCAGCCUGCCACUGAUACUGUUAGACUUGAGUAUGGAAGAGGAGAAUGGAAUUCCUAGUGUAGCGGUGAAAUGCGUAGAUAUUAGGAGGAACACCAGUGGCGAAGGCGAUUCUCUGGGCCAAGACUGACGCUGAGGCGCGAAAGCGUGGGGAGCAAACAGGAUUAGAUACCCUGGUAGUCCACGCCGUAAACGAUGGAUACUAAGUGUUAGUAGUUUCGAUGCUACUAGUGCCGGAGUAAACACAAUAAGUAUCCCGCCUGGGGAGGUGCGGUCGCAAGACUGAAACUCAAAGGAAUAGACGGGGGCCCGCACAAGCGGUGGAGCAUGUGGUUUAAUUAGACGCAACGUGAAGAACCUUACCAAGACUUGACAUCCUCCUGACAAGAUAUGUAAUGUAUCUCUUUUCUUCGGAGACAGGAGAGACAGGUGGUGCAUGGUUGUCGUCAGCUCGUGUCGUGAGAUGUUGGGUUAAGUCCCGCAACGAGCGCAACCCUUAUUUCUAGUUGCCAGCAGUAAGAUGGGGACUCUAGAGAGACUGCCAGUGACAAACUGGAGGAAGGUGGGGAUGACGUCAAAUCAUCAUGCCCCUUAUGUCUUGGGCUACACACGUGCUACAAUGGUCAGAACAGAGGGAAGCGAAGCCGCGAGGUGGAGCAAAUCCCAGAAAACUGAUCUCAGUUCGGAUUGCAGGCUGCAACCCGCAAGCAUGAAGUCGGAAUCGCUAGUAAUCGCGGGUCAGCAUACCGCGGUGAAUACGUUCCCGGG